AAAACACUAGUUUGCAUUAGUAAUAGUCUAUUUUAUGAGUUUUUUUGAUACUUUAUUAUUGGGUAUUAAAUAUUGCCACAAUAUUUGUUCAGGUACUAUUUAAUAAAAUUUUCCUGAAACACUCAAUGCAUAGUAGUUACAUGUUGCUACAAAAGUGUGUGUGUGGUGUGUGAGUGUGUGUGUGUGUUAUUUUUGGCCGCUAAACCAGUAUAAUUGUGGUAUGGAUACAUAGCUUUUUGGGUUAUCUAUGUAACUGUAGUAGUGUUAAAUUAAUGUAUACAUUCGAAAACCUCUUUAAAUAUAAACUUGGAUAAGAAUAGUGAAUUGAAUUUCAUGUAAUUUAUACUUCAUUUAAGCUGUUUACAGAAUCUCAUGUGAUCAUUAUGAAGGAUUUAACAUUGAGUCAGUAACAGAUUUCCUGUAGGGUUGAGUGGACUCCACGCAUAACUGAAAGAUUUGUGCUAGCAGUUGUGCAUAUCAGUCAGUGUUCAGUGCUUUUGAACUUGUGUGAGCAUUGCAUGAAUGUAUUGCUUUUUCUGGGAUUUUAGAAAGAAGAAAACCUUCACAAACAAUAACAUUAUACAUUUUUAUCAGCCCGCUUAGUUAGAGGAAUAAUCUGAUGCAAUUUAUGUUCAUUUUGUGUCUGUCAAGCUAAAGUACAUGCUGCAAGAUGAGAAAAGAAGGAACGGAACUAUCCCUGGAUUAAUAGACAUGACAUUUGUGCAAACAGGUAGAUAAAAUGAUUUGCAAAAACAGACUAAAAAGGAGGAAAGGUAAAAUGUAAAAGUUGGAACUAAUGUUAUCAACCCAAUCUGUUACCUGAGCUCACAAGUUAAACAUAGUAUUGCAAUGUCAGCAUUUCUCCAGGAAAGUAGAACGCUAUAAAUAUCUCCUGCAUGGAAGUGAUAUUUGACCUAUAAAAUACCACAAACCCAACAGUACUUGCUGCUGAAAUUUGAUAAUCAUUGUCUGUAAAGUGGCAGACUUUCUUUAGAGUGUGGAAUGAGAAGAGAAGUAAGCCCCAUGUAAAAUGGCAAUAAAAUAUGUUAUGAAUUUUCUAGUUUGGACUGACACAUUUUGUUCAUUAUAAGUUUUCAAGAAUUGCUGCAUUUAUCCUUGCCUCCUAAGCACUGUCUUAGCAGACAUUGUGAUUUUUCAAUCCCAAACUGUACUAAAAUUCUAGUUGGAUGGUGUAAU
rnacentral:lncRNA from 10 species